rnacentral:rRNA from 1 species
UUGAUCCUGGCUCAGGACGAACGCUGGCGGCGUGCUUAACACAUGCAAGUCGAGCGGUAAGGCCCUUCGGGGUACACGAGCGGCGAACGGGUGAGUAACACGUGGGUGAUCUGCCUCGUACUCUGGGAUAAGCCUGGGAAACUGGGUCUAAUACCGGAUAUGACCACGAGUCGCAUGGUUUGUGGUGGAAAGAUUUAUCGGUGCGAGAUGGGCCCGCGGCCUAUCAGCUUGUUGGUGGGGUAAUGGCCUACCAAGGCGACGACGGGUAGCCGGCCUGAGAGGGCGACCGGCCACACUGGGACUGAGACACGGCCCAGACUCCUACGGGAGGCAGCAGUGGGGAAUAUUGCACAAUGGGCGGAAGCCUGAUGCAGCGACGCCGCGUGCGGGAUGACGGCCUUCGGGUUGUAAACCGCUUUCGACAGGGACGAAGCGUGAGUGACGGUACCUGUAGAAGAAGCACCGGCCAACUACGUGCCAGCAGCCG